AUUGAACGCUGGCGGCGGGCCUAACACAUGCAAGUCGAGCGGAUGAAGGGAGCUUGCUCCUGGAUUCAGCGGCGGACGGGUGAGUAAUGCCUAGGAAUCUGCCCGGCAGUGGGGGAUAACGUCCGGAAACGGGCGCUAAUACCGCAUACGACCUGAGGGAGAAAGUGGGGGAUCUUCGGACCUCACGCUAUCAGAUGAGCCUCGGUCGGAUUAGCUAGUUGGUGGGGUAAAGGCCUACCAAGGCGACGAUCCGUAACUGGACUGAGAGGAUGAUCAGUCACACUGGAACUGAGACACGGUCCAGACGCCUACGGGAGGCAGCAGUGGGGAAUAUUGGACAAUGGGCGAAAGCCUGAUCCAGCCAUGGCGCGUGUGUGAAGAAGGUCUUCGGAUGGUAAAGAACUUUAAGUUGGGAGGAAGGGCAGUAGGUUAAGACCUUGCGGUUUUGACGUUACCAACAGAAUAAGCACCGGCUAACUUCGUG
rnacentral:rRNA from 1 species